UGGUGGAGUGAUUUGUCUGGUUAAUUCCGAUAACGAACGAGACCUCAACCUAUUAACUAGUUUUGUUAAUCUUCGGAUUGGCGUAGACUUCUUAGAGGGACUAUGAGUGAUUAGCUCAUGGAAGUGAGGCAAUAACA
rnacentral:rRNA from 1 species